AUUGAACGCUGGCGGAAUGCUUUACACAUGCAAGUCGAACGGCAGCACGAGGGCAACCUUGGUGGCGAGUGGCGAACGGGUGAGUAAUACAUCGGAACGUGCCCAGUCGUGGGGGAUAACGUAGCGAAAGCUACGCUAAUACCGCAUACGAUCUAUGGAUGAAAGCGGGGGACCGUAAGGCCUCGCGCGAUUGGAGCGGCCGAUGGCAGAUUAGGUAGUUGGUGGGGUAAAGGCUCACCAAGCCUGCGAUCUGUAGCUGGUCUGAGAGGACGACCAGCCACACUGGAACUGAGACACGGUCCAGACUCCUACGGGAGGCAGCAGUGGGGAAUUUUGGACAAUGGGCGCAAGCCUGAUCCAGCCAUUCCGCGUGCAGGAUGAAGGCCUCGG
rnacentral:rRNA from 1 species